rnacentral:rRNA from 1 species
CAGCAGCCGCGGUAAUACGUAGGGUGCAAGCGUUAAUCGGAAUUACUGGGCGUAAAGCGUGCGCAGGCGGUUCGGAAAGAAAGGUGUGAAAUCCCAGGGCUCAACCUUGGAACUGCAUUUUUAACUACCGGACUAGAGUAUGUCAGAGGGAGGUGGAAUUCCACGUGUAGCAGUGAAAUGCGUAGAUAUGUGGAGGAACACCGAUGGCGAAGGCAGCCUCCUGGGAUAAUACUGACGCUCAUGCACGAAAGCGUGGGGAGCAAACAGGAUUAGAUACCCCUGUAGUCCCUGUCUCUUAUAC